UUGCCCUAGUAACGGCGAGUGAAGCGGCAACAGCUCAAAUUUGAAAGCUGGCCUUCGGGUCCGCAUUGUAAUUUGUAGAGGAUGCUUUGGGUGAAACGCCAGUCUAAGUUCCUUGGAACAGGACGUCAUAGAGGGUGAGAAUCCCGUAUGUGACUGGAAAUGUUAACCUAUGUAAAGCUCCUUCGACGAGUCGAGUUGUUUGGGAAUGCAGCUCUAAAUGGGAGGUAAAUUUCUUCUAAAGCUAAAUAUUGGCGAGAGACCGAUAGCGCACAAGUAGAGUGAUCGAAAGAUGAAAAGCACUUUGGAAAGAGAGUUAAAAAGCACGUGAAAUUGUUGAAAGGGAAGCGCUUGCAAUCAGACUUGUUUAAACUGUUCGGCCGGUCUUCUGACCGGUUUACUCAGUUUGGACAGGCCAGCAUCAGUUUCGGCGGCCGGAUAAAGGCUCUGGGAAUGUGGCCUUCACUUCGGUGAAGGUGUUAUAGCCCAGGGUGUAAUACGGCCAGCCGGGACUGAGGUCCGCGCUUCGGCUAGGAUGCUGGCGUAAUGGUUGUAAGCGACCCGUCUUGAAACACGGACCAAGGAGUCUAACAUCUAUGCGAGUGUUCGGGUGUCAAACCCCUGCGCGUAAUGAAAGUGAACGGAGGUGGGAACCGCAAGGUGCACCAUCGACCGAUCCUGAUGUCUUCGGAUGGAUUUGAGUAAGAGCAUAGCUGUUGGGACCCGAAAGAUGGUGAACUAUGCCUGAAUAGGGUGAAGCCAGAGGAAACUCUGGUGGAGGCUCGCAGCGGUUCUGACGUGCAAAUCGAUCGUCAAAUUUGGGUAUAGGGGCGAAAGACUAAUCGAACC
rnacentral:rRNA from 1 species